UCUGAGAGGAUGAUCAGCCACACCGGGACUGAGACACGGCCCGGACUCCUACGGGAGGCAGCAGUGGGGAAUAUUGGACAAUGGGGGAAACCCUGAUCCAGCCAUGCCGCGUGUGUGAAGAAGGCCUUCGGGUUGUAAAGCACUUUCAGUGGGGAAGAAGGCAUGCCGAUUAAUACCCGGCAUGAAGGACAUCACCCACAGAAGAAGCACCGGCUAACUCCGUGCCAGCAGCCGCGGUAAUACGGAGGGUGCAAGCGUUAAUCGGAAUUACUGGGCGUAAAGGGCGCGUAGGCGGCUUGCCAAGCCGGAUGUGAAAGCCCCGGGCUCAACCCGGGAACGGCAUUCGGAACUGGCAGGCUAGAGUGCAGGAGAGGAAGGUGGAAUUCCCGGUGUAGCGGUGAAAUGCGUAGAGAUCGGGAGGAAUACCAGUGGCGAAGGCGGCCUUCUGGACUGACACUGACGCUGAGGCGCGAAAGCGUGGGUAGCAAACAGGAUUAGAUACCCUGGUAGUCCACGCCGUAAACGAUGUCGACCAGCCGUUGGACCCCUUGAGGGUUUGGUGGCGUAGUUAACGCAAUAAGUCGACCGCCUGGGGAGUACGGCCGCAAGGCUAAAACUCAAAUGAAUUGACGGGGGCCCGCACAAGCGGUGGAGCAUGUGGUUUAAUUCGAUGCAACGCGAAGAACCUUACCUGCUCUUGACAUCCUGCGAAUCUCCCAGAGAUGGGAGAGUGCCUUCGGGAGCGCAGAGACAG
rnacentral:rRNA from 1 species